rnacentral:lncRNA from 1 species
CUUCUUGGGGCCAUUUUAAAUGACAAUUAAGCACAAACAUGCUUAACAAAACGUAUUCUAACUAUGAAUAAUCUUUGAUUACUAUUUAAUUGUCAGAUGGGCAUUCACAGGAAAAUUAAUUUUAUAUAAAAAGGGUGUUCUAACAGGAAACUGAUAAGUAGAGUAUCCUUUUGGUGUUCGAUGGUCAGUACUACCGAGCAAUACUUGAGUACUCGAGUACUCGUUGACAACCCUAAUAUAUAGAUAGUUUUUUUGCACAUAAUUGAUGUACCAACAUGACAUCAUAUAUCCUGUUCUGGCAUCAAACUUGAACUAUUGACAUUUUAAAAACUUUUUGUACCCUUCAGAAUGUAAUAAAAUUUGACAAAAAUAAUAUUUGCAGGUUAAAAGUGCGAGUAUUUUGUACAUGAUGGAAAAUCGCAUAUCUCCUUUGCCAUGGAGGAUAUGUGCAUCGUUUUGACCUUUCAAAGUCAUUAAUGACCCAAUGAAUAGCCAAUAGAAAUGCCGCAAUAUUGCUUCAAGAUGCUGAAUAAGUCAAUCAAAUUACACAAUUUUCGUAUCACAUUCCAUGCAGUAGUAUGACACAAGAAAUAUCUCUUCAUGUGAUAAAUAGAUAAAAGGCAUACACCAUAAAGAGCAUUAGUUGUAUUUAUAUUCUGCCUAAAUGUAAAAAAAGAAAUAUACUAUAAAAAUACAAUACAAGAUAAACGAAUGUCCUUGGUUCUUUUUCAAUUUUCGGUUAUGAAAAAUAAGAAGUAAGAUAAACAAACGUAGAAACAGAUAAUAAUAGUGUUUUAAAUGACAUUUGUGAAGGCAGCUUUUAUUUUUUAUGCUCUAGGGAAAUAAUAAAGUAUAUGAAGUUCUUACUUUUUGCUACACAACUAUUUGAACCAAAAAAUGACACAGCAUUUGUCAAAGCUAACAAUACGUCAUUUGUAUUGCAUUGAUUUACUGUAAGCAUCAGUUGUGGGCUAUUUUGUAUCUUGUUGUACAUGUUAUAAAUGAUUAUAAUUUUGUCAUAAUUGUAUGUAACAUAUACUUGUUAACCUAUUAAAUUAAAUGCAUAAAUGUAUAUAUAAAGAAGCUAUCUAAAUGAUUGUUAUUAUGUAAAAUAAUAUGUUCAAGACCUUUAGGACUGAUGGUUUUUUAAUGAUGUAUUUUAUUUUGAAUAAGAGAUUAUGUUACAAAAUGCAUAUUACCAAUUGUAGAUACAUGUGGAAUGUGUCAUAUUUAUAUAAUUAUAGUGCUACAGUAAUACUUUAAAAUGUUUCCUUUUUUUUCUUUUCUUUUCCUUCUGGGUUAUUUCAUGGCAUUACAGUAACUUGAUGAGAUCAACAUGGAAGAGUAUUCCCAAUUUUAGAAUGCAACUCUGGUGAUUAAUUUGAAAUUCUAUACUUUUAUCCAACACAGAACUUGUUU